rnacentral:rRNA from 2 species
UCAGAUUGAACGCUGGCGGCAGGCCUAACACAUGCAAGUCGAACGGAAACAUGUCUAGCUUGCUACAUGAUGUCGAGUGGCGGACGGGUGAGUAAUGCCUGGGAAUUUGCCUUUGUGUGGGGGAUAACCAUUGGAAACGAUGGCUAAUWCCGCAUAAUGCCUACGGGCCAAAGUGGGGACUUGUUCCUCGCGCGCAAAGAGAAGCCCAGGUGAGAUUAGCUAGUUGGUGAGGUAAAGGCUCACCAAGGCGACGAUCUCUAGCUGUUCUGAGAGGAAGAUCAGCCACACUGGAACCGAGACACGGUCCAGACUCCUACGGGAGGCAGCAGUGGGGAAUAUUGCACAAUGGGCGCAAGCCUGAUGCAGCCAUGCCGCGUGUGUGAAGAAGGCCUUCGGGUUGUAAAGCACUUUCAGUUGUGAGGAAAGGUUAGUAGUUAAUACCUGCUAGCUGUGACGUUAACAACAGAAGAAGCACCGGCUAACUCCGUGCCAGCAGCCGCGGUAAUACGGAGGGUGCAAGCGUUAAUCGGAAUUACUGGGCGUAAAGCGCACGCAGGUGGAAUGUUAAGCUAGAUGUGAAAGCCCAGCGCUCAACGUUGGACGGUCAUUUAGAACUGGCAUUCUAGAGUUUUGGAGAGGGGAGUGGAAUUCCAGGUGUAGCGGUGAAAUGCGUAGAGAUCCGGAGGAACAUCAGUGGCGAAGGCGACUCUCUGGCCAAAAACUGACACUCAUGUGCGAAAGUGUGGGUAGCGAACAGGAUUAGAUACCCUGGUAGUCCACACCGUAAACGCUGUCUACUAGCUGUUUGUGAGUUUAACUCGUGAGUAGCGAAGCUAACGCGCUAAGUAGACCACCUGGGGAGUACGGUCGCAAGAUUAAAACUCAAAUGAAUUGACGGGGGCCCGCACAAGCGGUGGAGCAUGUGGUUUAAUUCGAUGCAACGCGAAGAACCUUACCUACACUUGACAUUCAGAGAACUUUUCAGAGAUGAAUUGGUGCCUUCGGGAGCUCUGGGACAGGUGCUGCAUGGCUGUCGUCUGCUCGUGUCGUGAGAUGUUGGGUUAAGUCCCGCAACGAGCGCAACCCUUGUCCUUAUUUGCCAUCAUUAAGUNGGCACUCUAAGGAGACUGCCGGUGACAAACCGGAGGAAGGUGGGGACGACGUCAAGUCAUCAUGGCCCUUACGUGUAGGGCUACACANGUGCUACAAUGGCGGGUACAAAGGGAAGCGAGACGGUGACGUUAGCGGACCCCUUAAAGCCCGUCGUAGUCCGGAUUGGAGUCUGCAACUCGACUCCAUGAAGUCGGAAUCGCUAGUAAUCGUAGGUCAGCAUACUACGGUGAAUACGUUCCCGGGCCUUGUACACACCGCCCGUCACACCAUGGGAGUGGGAUGCAAAAGAAGUAGUUAGCUUAACCUUCGGGAGAGCGAUUACCACUUUGUGUUUCAUGACUGGGGUGAAGUCGUAACAAGGUAACCCUAGGGGAACCUGGGGC